rnacentral:rRNA from 1 species
UACGUAGGGUGCGAGCGUUAAUCGGAAUUACUGGGCGUAAAGUGUGCGCAGGCGGCUUCGCAAGUCGGAGUGUGAAAUCCCCGAGCUUAACUUGGGAAUUGCGCUCGAAACUACGGAGCUGGAGUGUGGCAGAGGAAGGUGGAAUUCCACGUGUAGCGGUGAAAUGGCGUAGAGAUGUGGAGGAACACCAAGUGGCGAAGGCAGGCCGUUCUGGGCCGAACACUGACGCUCGAUGACACGAAAGCGUGGGGAGCAAACAGG